rnacentral:rRNA from 1 species
GAGUUUGAUCUUGGCUCAGGAUGAACGCUGGCGGCGUGCCUAAUACAUGCAAGUCGAGCGAACGGACGAGAAGCUUGCUUCUCUGAUGUUAGCGGCGGACGGGUGAGUAACACGUGGAUAACCUACCUAUAAGACUGGGAUAACUUCGGGAAACCGGAGCUAAUACCGGAUAAUAUUUUGAACCGCAUGGUUCAAAAGUGAAAGACGGUCUUGCUGUCACUUAUAGAUGGAUCCGCGCUGCAUUAGCUAGUUGGUAAGGUAACGGCUUACCAAGGCAGCGAUGCAUAGCCGACCUGAGAGGGUGAUCGGCCACACUGGAACUGAGACACGGUCCAGACUCCUACGGGAGGCAGCAGUAGGGAAUCUUCCGCAAUGGGCGAAAGCCUGACGGAGCAACGCCGCGUGAGUGAUGAAGGUCUUCGGAUCGUAAAACUCUGUUAUUAGGGAAGAACAUAUGUGUAAGUAACUGUGCACAUCUUGACGGUACCUAAUCAGAAAGCCACGGCUAACUACG